CGUGAGAUGUUGGGUUAAGUCCCGCAACGAGCGCAACCCUCGCCCUUAGUUGCCAGCAUUUAGUUGGGCACUCUAAGGGGACUGCCGGUGAUAAGCCGCGAGGAAGGUGGGGAUGACGUCAAGUCCUCAUGGCCCUUACGGGCCGGGCUACACACGUGCUACAAUGGCGGUGACAAUGGGAUGCAAUGGAGCGAUCCUGCGCAAAUCUCAAAAAGCCGUCUCAGUUCGGAUUGGAGUCUGCAACUCGACUCCA
rnacentral:rRNA from 1 species